rnacentral:lncRNA from 1 species
UAUCUUAUAUACAAUGUCAAUGUGACUAGAUCCAAAAACUCUCAUGGCUAACUCAAUAGGAUUGAACUCACUCCAAGCUCAUGUAUACUCAUGACUUGACUUAAUCUCACACCGUUGGACUCAAACCUAGCCCAAUAUAAAUUAGCUCCUCAAGGUCCAAAGCCCCUAGACCUCAAGACUGUGAAGGCUGACAAUUUUUCACCCUAGAAUCCAAAAUAGCCCU